UACAGAGGGGGCCAGCGUUAUUCGGAAUUACUGGGCGUAAAGGGCGCGUAGGCGGCCUUCUAAGUCGAACGUGAAAUCCCCGGGCUCAACCCGGGAACUGCGUCCGAUACUGGAAGGCUUGAAUCCGGGAGAGGGAUGUGGAAUUCCAGGUGUAGCGGUGAAAUGCGUAGAUAUCUGGAGGAACACCAAUGGCGAAGGCAGCUCGCUGGGACGGUACUGACGCUGAGACGCGAAAGCGUGGGGAGCAAACAGG
rnacentral:rRNA from 1 species